AGUGAACGCUGGCGGUAUGCCUAACACAUGCAAGUCGAACGGAAGCACAGUAAGAGCUUCCUCUUACGGGUGGCGAGUGGCGUACGUGUCAGGACUACAUCGGAAUCUACUUUUUCGUGGGGGAUCACGUAGGCAAACUUACGCUCAUAUCACAUACGACCUACCGUUGCAAUCAGUUGAACUUCGGACCUUGCGUGCUUGUAUGAGCCGAUGUCGCGUUAGCUAGUUGGCGGGGUAAAGGCCCACCAAGGCGACGCUCCGUAGCUGGUCCGACGGGAUGAUCAGCCACACUGGAACUGAGACACGGUCCAGACUCCUACGGGAGGCAGCAGUGGGGAAUAUUGGACAAUGGGGGAAAGCCUGAUCCAGCCAUACCGCGUGGGUGAAGAAGGCCUUCGGGUUGUAAAGCCCUUUUGUUGGGAAAGAAAAGCAGCAGGUUAAUACCGCGCUGUUCUGACGGUACCCAAAGAAUAAGCAACGGCUAACUUCGUG
rnacentral:rRNA from 1 species